CCUUUCACCCGGCAGAGUUCUCCGACAAAAGUGAAGGAAACGCUGAAAACUUGAACUUGCUAUUCACCAGCUGCCUCGGCCUCUCUAACAAGCUCACUUGUUUUCUUUUCCUGCCGUUCCCUUUGCGCGUUUCUAUUUCUCCCUCCCUAGCUCUCUCUCUGUUUCUGUUUCUCUCUCUCCCCCCCCCCCUUUCUCUUGCUCGCUCUCUGUCUUUCUCUGGGCUGUGUGUAAGAGGAUCACUUUGUUUCCGUUGCCUUUUUCCACGGUGCUGCAUAUACACAUUGAGGAGAGGAUUGGAUUUAAGGAGAUACUGACGGGGAGCACAGCUGCAACAGUCCCCUCAAUCUCCACACCAGGACUAAUGCGCCCCUUUCUCUAUCCCUCUACCCUCUCUCGCUCUCUCUCUCUCUCUCCUUUGCCCCCUGUGUGUUUGACUCUCCCUCUGUCGCACUCUCUGCUUCUGCCUCUUGGAGAGGUGGGGGUGCCAUAUGGUAGCUCAGAAAAAUGGAAGUGGAUCGGAGAGCGACACGAGAGGAAUCUUUCAUUGUGGGGCUCGGAUGUUGGGAUCUAUGUGAGUGGGGAACUAGAACUGACCUCAGCAAGGACCCCCCCAGACUGAUCUGUAUAAAGGGUGAGUUCAAGUUUCAUGUUUUUGAUCAUUCUAACCAAAGCUUUUACUUUGCUUAGUUUUUUUAGUUGUCAUGUAUUGUCACAUGUCCUUGUAUGUAAAAUAUGAAAGAAUAGCUACAAUUUAAAUUUAUGCUCAGGGACAAGAAUUUUGAGGCCCAAAUUUGAUGCACGUCUCACACACAUAGUGUUUCGUACAAUAAUCAGAGACUGUUACCAGUUUCUAAGCAGAAUUUCAGUCUUUUAUUUUUAUGAAUAUUGUUAUUAUUAUUAUUACUUUGCUACUUUGGCCAUAACCAUUUGGCACAAACCCGUAGAUCCGAUCUUGUGACAAAUCUGACAGCACAAGCUCGCCUCUGUGGGUCUUUGUCAUUGUGGUGUGAACGUCGUGUUUGUCAUUUUUUAGAACUUUUUGCUAUGAUGACUUACAUUGCACGUGUGUGUGUGUGUGUGUGUGUGUGUGUGUGUGUGUGUGUGUGUGUGUGUGUGUGUGUGUGUGUGUGUGUGUGUGUGUGUGUGUGUUCGAUUAGUAAUCUGGGUUCAUAUGUUUGCUACGUGAGGGAUCCUUAUUGAAAAUGUGUGCAUCCGGGUUGAGGUAGUAGGUUGUAUGGUUUAGAGUUACAUCCUGGGAGUUAACUGUACAACCUUCUAGCUUUCCUUGGAGUACACGUAUGACAACAACCCGGUGGACAAAACACAGUCCAGAGAGUGUCUUUGCUCGGAACCUUACGUGAUGGAACUUCUCAAUAGCUUAUCACUCUAUAAAGCCUCUACAGAAUUAUAUUGGGUUUCUUAAUAAUUUUGUUUUUGCCCACCAGAGGUUCUUGUAGCUAUCAUCAGCAGGCCUUGAGCCCUUUACUUAUUGUUAGCUUGACAUAUGUUGUAUUUUUAGAGAAAAUUCACUGUGGUCAGUUGGAGCAAUGACGCUGCAUCCAUUUCAUUACUUUGUCCUCAAAACUUGGUUUUCUGGCUUUGUCUCAAAGCGAUGACCUCACUUUCAGAACUGUUGUUCCAUCUUCUUGGCCUUGUUUUACACCUCUGUCUCUUUAACCAGUGGGGCCGUGGCAUCGUAGGAGUCGGUCACCAUUAGGUUGCACAGAAGGUUUAACACAAGAGGGUGGUUCUCAAUAACAGUGCCCAUCACCAUCAUAAGGGUAGUUGGGAAAUAAGCCACAGCAAAUAUAUGUCACAAAUACAAUUAUCAUCGAACAGUAGAUGUUAGUUGUUCUAUUUAUCACUAUCUUCCUGGUACAAUAAAUGUCUCAUGACCUGUAGUUUCA
rnacentral:lncRNA from 1 species